AGCAGCCGCGGUAAUUCCAGCUCCAAUAGCGUAUAUUAAAGUUGUUGCAGUUAAAAAGCUCGUAGUUGAAUUUCGGGAUUGGCGCAUCGGUCGUGCCUCACGGGGUAUGAACUGGUGCAGUCAAUUUCUCACCUUCUGGAGAACCGCGAUGUCCUUAAUUGGAUGCCGUGGGGAACCAGGACCUUUACUUUGAAAAAUUAGAGUGUUUAAAGCAGGCAUUUUUGCUUGAAUACAUUAGCAUGGAAUAAUAAAAUAGGACGGCAUGGUUCUAUUUUGUUGGUUUCUAGGACCACCGUAAUGAUUAAUAGGGAUAGUUGGGGGCAUUAGUAUUCAAUUGUCAGAGGUGAAAUUCUUGGAUUUAUUGAAGACUAACUACUGCGAAAGCAUUUGCCAAGGAUGUUUUCAUUAAUCAAGAACGAAAGUUAGGGGAUCGAAGACGAUCAGAUACCGCGUAGUCUUAACCAUAAACUAUGACCGACUAGGAAUCAGACGAUGUUAAUUUUUAAUGUACUCGUUUGCA
rnacentral:rRNA from 1 species